rnacentral:rRNA from 1 species
CCUACGGGAGACAGCAGUAGGGAAUAUUGCUCAAUGGGGGAAACCCUGAAGCAGCAACGCCGCGUGGAGGAUGAAGGUUUUAGGAUUGUAAACUCCUUUUGUUAGAGAAGAUUAUGACGGUAUCUAACGAAUAAGCACCGGCUAACUCCGUGCCAGCAGCCGCGGUAAUACGGAGGGUGCAAGCGUUACUCGGAAUCACUGGGCGUAAAGCGUGCGUAGGCGGGGUAAUAAGUCAGAUGUGAAAUCCUGUAGCUUAACUACAGAACUGCAUUUGAAACUGUUACUCUGGAGUGUGGGAGAGGUAGGUGGAAUUCUUGGUGUAGGGGUAAAAUCCGUAGAGAUCAAGAGGAAUACUCAUUGCGAAGGCGACCUACUGGACCGUAACUGACGUUGAGGCUCGAAAGCGUGGGGAGCAAACAGGAUUAGAUACCCGGGUAGUC